UGCAGGUUUGUUAAAGAGAAGCAGACUCCAC
rnacentral:piRNA from 1 species